rnacentral:rRNA from 1 species
AGUGAACGCUGGCGGCAGGCCUAAUACAUGCAAGUCGAACGGCAGCACAGUGGAGCUUGCUCCAUGGGUGGCGAGUGGCGGACGGGUGAGGAAUACAUGGGAAUCUGCCCAGUCGUGGGGGAUAACGUAGGGAAACUUACGCUAAUACCGCAUGCGCCCUUCGGGGAAAGCCGGGGACCGUAAGGCCUGGCGCGAUUGGAUGAGCCCAUGUCGGAUUAGCUAGUUGGCGGGGUAACGGCCCACCAAGGCGACGAUCCGUAGCUGGUCUGAGAGGAUGAUCAGCCACACUGGAACUGAGACACGGUCCAGACUCCUACGGGAGGCAGCAGUAGGGAAUAUUGGACAAUGGGCGCAAGCCUGAUCCAGCCAUGCCGCGUGAGUGAAGAAGGCCCUCGGGUUGUAAAGCUCUUUUGUCCGGAAAGAAAAGCAAUCGGUUAAUACCCGGUUGUUCUGACGGUACCGGAAGAAUAAGCACCGGCUAACUUCGUGCCAGCAGCC